rnacentral:rRNA from 1 species
UACGAAGGGGGCUAGCGUUGUUCGGAAUUACUGGGCGUAAAGCGCGCGCAGGCGGCUAUCCAAGUCAGUGGUGAAAGCCCGGAGCUCAACUCCGGAACUGCCAUUGAAACUGUUUAGCUUGAGGACGAGAGAGGUGAGUGGAACUGCGAGUGUAGAGGUGAAAUUCGUAGAUAUUCGCAAGAACACCAGUGGCGAAGGCGGCUCACUGGCCCGGUACUGACGCUGAGGUGCGAAAGCGUGGGGAGCAAACAGG